ACCUGUUUCCAUGCCGAACACAGAAGUUAAGCUCCUUAGCGUCGAUGGUAGUCGAACUUACGUUCCGCUAGAGUAGAACGUUGCCAGGCA
rnacentral:rRNA from 1 species